GCUACACAUGCAGUCGAGCGGUAGCACAGAAGAGCUUGCUCUUUUGGGUGACGAGCGGCGGACGGGUGAGUAAUGUCUGGGAAACUGCCUGAUGGAGGGGGAUAACUACUGGAAACGGUAGCUAAUACCGCAUAACGUCGCAAGACCAAAGUGGGGGACCUUCGGGCCUCAUGCCAUCAGAUGUGCCCAGAUGGGAUUAGCUAGUAGGUGAGGUAAUGGCUCACCUAGGCGACGAUCCCUAGCUGGUCUGAGAGGAUGACCAGCCACACUGGAACUGAGACACGGUCCAGACUCCUACGGGAGGCAGCAGUGGGGAAUAUUGCACAAUGGGCGCAAGCCUGAUGCAGCCAUGCCGCGUGUAUGAAGAAGGCCUUCGGGUUGUAAAGUACUUUCAGCGAGGAGGAAGGCGAUAAGGUUAAUAACCUUGUCGAUUGACGUUACUCGCAGAAGAAGCACCGGCUAACUCCGUGCCAGCAGCCGCGGUAAUACGGAGGGUGCAAGCGUUAAUCGGAAUUACUGGGCGUAAAGCGCACGCAGGCGGUCUGUCAAGUCGGAUGUGAAAUCCCCGGGCUCAACCUGGGAACUGCAUCCGAACUGGCAGGCUAGAGUCUUGUAGAGGGGGGUAGAAUUCCAGGUGUAGCGGUG
rnacentral:rRNA from 1 species